AUCUUGCUGACAAGUCCCAACUAGGACGAAACACGCGUCCUGGAU
rnacentral:hammerhead_ribozyme from 1 species